AGAUUAACCUAGUGUUCUUGAGUUAUAAUCGGUCUGUUUGAAUAUUUAUGGAUGUGUAUGACUGUUAGUUGGUACUUGGUAAGUUGUUCUCUGACCAGUUUGGGUGGAAAUUGGUUCAUUUCUUGGUCUUCACACUGUCUCUUUGAUUGUCUUCAAAUUUAGAAUUUGACAUUGGAUUUGUUGUUGUGGGAGUUAGAUGGAAAUAGUUGGGGUUUAUUUACACAAUUGGAUCCCUUUUUGUGUAAAGAAAAGAGGGUAGGGAUGAAACUAAUUGUGAAGGACCAAUGAUUCAGAUGGGUCUUGGAAAUUGGAAUAUGGUGAAUCUUUUUUGCCUAAUUCAUUGUCUUCGCUGGUAAUGUGAAAGGCAACGAUGUGAAGUUUGGAGCAGGAAGUGCAAUGAUUUCUGGUCCCGUUCCUACAAGCUUCUUUCAUUCCUCCUUAUCAAAAAGUCAUUACUUAACAUCAAAAGUAUUUUGCAGUAUUAAUUCUCAAAAUCCCUCUGGGGCUUCUCGUUGCAGGCAAUUGGGUAGGCUUUCCUCAGUGACAACAUUAUGUUGGAGAUGGGCAGUUCUGUAGAUUCUAACUAAAUUGAAGGGUGUAGUAAUAGGAUUGUAAAAGCAUCUGGCAAUUGGUCUAGAUGCUUUGUGGACUUUAUUAAGUGCUGCAUACCAUUAUCAAACACUUUCCAUUAGAUAAAGUAGCGUUCAUCACUGAAUUCUGCUGAUGAAUGGGAAGGGGGCCUUAUUUUCGUUAUUUUUGGUUCUCACUCUGGUGGAGUCGUCAGGCAGUUCGGGCAAAAUGUUGCCUGUUAAUCUGGGUUCUGGGGCAACAUUUCUCUACAGCUGGACAAUGUGCAGUGCAGGUGUAUUUGUACUCGUUGCUUUUGUUCUAUCCAUGUAUCUUCUCUUUGAGCAUUUAGCCGCUUACAAUCAACCUGAGGAGCAGAAAUUCUUAGUUGGGCUCAUUCUGAUGGUUCCUGUUUAUGCACUGGAAUCGUUUAUGUCACUAUUGGAUUCAAAAGCUUCAUUCAACUGCGAAAUAAUCCGGGACUGUUAUGAGGCUUUUGCCUUAUAUUGCUUUGAGAGAUAUCUGAUAGCUUGCUUAGGUGGUGAAGAAAAAACAAUUGAAUUCAUGGAAAGUCAAAGCCUUAAUACUUCUUCCAGCAUACCUCUUUUGGAAGAAGCUUAUGCUUAUGGGGUUGUAGAACAUCCUUUCCCGCUAAAUUGCUUGCUAAAGGAGUGGCAUCUUGGUUCUGAGUUCUAUCAAGCUGUUAAAAUUGGCAUUGUUCAGUAUAUGAUACUAAAGAUGAUCUGUGCUCUGCUGGCUAUGGUCUUUGAAUUCUUUGGUGUUUAUGGUGAUGGGAAAUUUGAGUGGAAAUAUGCAUAUCCAUACUUGGCAGUUGUUCUUAAUUUUAGUCAAACCUGGGCCUUAUAUUGUCUUGUGCAGUUCUAUACUGUCAUAAAAGAUAAGUUGGCACCGAUUAAACCUUUGGCCAAGUUUUUGACAUUCAAGUCGAUUGUAUUCCUGACAUGGUGGCAAGGUUUGGCUGUUGCAUUUCUUUUUUCGAUGGGAGCCUUUAAAGGGGCCCUGGCACAGGAGUUGAAAACACAUAUACAAGACUACAUCAUCUGUAUUGAGAUGGGUAUUGCUGCAGUGGUCCAUCUGUAUGUUUUUCCAGCAGUACCUUACAAGCGUGGAGAAAGAUGUGUGCGCAACGUGGCUGUAAUGACUGACUACGCAUCCUUAGGAGCACCUCCAGAUCCAGAGGAGGUUCAAGACUGUGAAAGAUCUACUAGAGUAUCCUUUCCUCGUCAUGAUGAGAGAGAAAAGCGUUUGAAUUUCCCCCAGAGUGUUCAUGAUGUGGUUUUUGGAAGCAGUGAAAUAAUUGUAGAUGACAUGAAGUUCACGGUUUCACAUGUUGUGGAACCAGUUGAAAGGGGAAUUGCAAAAAUAAACAAAACUUUACACCAGAUAUCUGAAAAUGUCAAACGGUUCGAGGAACAGAGAAAGAAAUCUAAGGAUGAUAGUUAUCUUAUCCCCUUGAAUUCAUGGACGAAAGAAUUUUCCGAAGUGCACGAUAACAUUAUCGAAGGUAGUGUUAGCGACAGUGGUUUGCCUGAUGGGAAAAGACCAAAUUACCAAUCCAAAGCCACACCGUAUCAGUUUAGAAACAUAUGAUAUUCACCUUCGUUUUAUGAACUGUGAAUUUAUAGAUUUAUCCGACAAUGUCAACAUAUUUUUAAUUCUUUGGAGCAUGCUUUGAUGGAAGAUUUUGCUGCAGAGCCGUGAAUGUGUGAAGAAAAAGCUACUAAAGCAGGUAGUGUUGUUGUCUUAAAUACAUAAAAGAUGAAAAGCACAGGCCUCAACACCUUGAUUGUGCACUCUUAAAAAAAAAAAAAAA